CAUUUCUGAUGCAGGAGGUGAACUUCAGGUGCUGGGAAUGAUUCUAGAAACCGUGACCUUGUGGUGCCUUGCACAGGAAGAGACAGGUGGGCUGGGAGAGAAGCUGUUUGCCCACGGUCUGCAAACUUGGAGAACUGCAGCCCGGACAGGUAGGAGGACUGGUGAGACCUGCAUGCCAACUUCAGAGAUCAGAAUAACACUCUGCUUUGUUUCUGUGGUCAAGCUUGCAAACAUAUUUAAAACUUAUCUGGGUGAUUUGUCAAUGGACUUACUUAAACAGUUUACGUCCUAACUCUAAGUAAGAAUAGGUCUGUGCCUUUGAGCAAUACUGACACCCAGUGUUGGAAUUUUUAGAACUGAAAGGGAGGAGGAAGAAGAAAUGCUAAAUAUAACUGCUCUCAUUCACUGAAGUUCACUGCACCAACUGAGGUUCAGCAAGGCGAAGUGUUGAUGGACUGGUCCUGUCUUCUUGUUCUGCACAAGGCUCACUACUUAAAAGCCAAUGUGUGUGUCAGGGGUAAAUUUUGGGAAUUGUUUUUUUUCUACAAAAAAAAACAAUUUUUUUUGUAGAAAAGAUUGUUUAGAGGCCAACAAGUGUUCAAUAAGUAGGAUACUAAUUUUUUUGGUUUUCAAAAUUAGUAUUUAACUUGUUGAGGAUUACAAAAAUUUAAACAUAAGCUAUUUCUCCCUUAAGUGUUGAAGUUCAACUUCCAAAC
ensembl:lncRNA